GGGGGCGAAAGGUUUCGACGGGGAUAAAGCAGAUGGGGAAGGCGUGCCGAGCUCCCAAUAGCUCGCAAAACAAUUGGGAUAUAAAUUUAAGUGCAGACUAUUCUUAUGCACUGGCUGCCUAAUUGAUGGCGGUCCGUCCUCCUUAGCUACGCCCACAGAGGCUAAGGCAGGGCGUCGAGACUGGCGGGCUGGCCCGGUCCUUGGGUCCGGGAGGGCCGGGUGAGAUCGAACCGGACUGGCUGCCUGAAGAUCCUGUCUGUCGGAGCCUCAGGCAGUGAGAUUUAAUUGACAGACUACGCACGUAGAUUUCCCUGUCGAAAUAUCUCCGGACGCGGGUUCAAUUCCCGCCGCCUCCACUC
rnacentral:tmRNA from 2 species